GGGGGAGGGAGGGGCAUCAACGCUAACUCAUCUACACAGGAAGUCCCUCUCUGGGGGAGGGAGGGGCAUCAACGCUAACUCAGCUACACAGGAAGUCCCUCUCUGCGGGAGGGACGGGCAUCAACGCUAACUCAGCUACACAGGAAGUCCCUCUCUGCGGGAGGGAGGGGCAUCAACGCUAACUCAUCCAAACUCAUCCAGACCCAGUGAAGCAACUCCGCAGGCGCCUCCUGCAGCAGGACACGGCCAGUGGCAAUCUGGGCAGCUUCACGUCUCCCACGUGAUGAGAACCAGGGACGCUGGUCAACACCCAGACUCUCAUCUGCCACGAACAGAGUUUGUCUCUCCGUUCAGUGCUGCCGGGGACCCAGGCACCAGGACUCCCUACCCCUCCAUGGGAGAGGCUCAAGCCAGUAGAGCUUCACGCCAAGAACAUCUGAAACAGAGGCUAUCCCACUUUUCCAGGCUUACUUUUAGUAAUUUCUGUAGGUUCCUCGUAAAGUUAGUUGCAUUUGCAGCGUCUCCUGUCAUUCUGUGGUAUUGCUUGAUAUCCCUCAUUAUAAUCAGCGGCCGGUCUGCAAUUAUGUCAGUGUCUCGGUCACCAGGCUGGACUACGGUGGUGCAAUCAUGGCUCAUUGCAGCCUCGACCCCCUGAACUCAAGCACUCCUCCCACCUCAGCCUCCAGAGCAGCUGAGGCUACAGCUUGCACCAUCUCUAUCCCAUCUUCAUGUAACUCGGAGGCCUGUAACCCUUGGCAUCUGGCUGCAGCCUCCUGACAUUAGUUCAACAGAGCACAGGCGGAUGUUCUGAGCUUCAGGUUUGUCCUCGCCAGGUCCCUUGAUUGGAAGUUGGUCUCUGUUGCUGUGCCAUGUGGAUGACUGCAGUAUACAUUUAAUAAUCACAGUCACAAGCUCCUUCAUUGCCAGCCCUCAACACACAAAAGUAUUCAUUUGGGUAACUUUGAACAAUGCACAUUUUCCUUACUUGCACUUUGGAUCACAGGAUAAGAAGGGGGAAAUGGUAAAAACAAAAACUCACAAACCAAAUGAAACAUUUAUCUCUGGGAUCAAGGAUGCUUCACGGAAGGGGGACCUGGCGGUCUACAGGUUACAGCUGGAAGUCACUGCCUGCUUUGCUGUGGUGGUAUCUUCUAGGAUUUGGUCUUUGUGGAAGCCUCCAUAUUAAAACAAAGGAGAAGAGGUGAAUGUUCCGGACUGCAUGCCCACAUGGAGAAUCUGAGGGGAGGAGAAGAAUGAAAGACUUCGAAUGGGAAAUUGCUUUGAAAUCUAUUUCCCCAAAUCUACUUAACCUUAGGCCAGGAGAAUAUUGUAUAUCACAAACUAAUUUUGCAAAUGACAUUUCAAAGAUCCCUUUUUAACCUAAUUUAAGUGCAUUCCAUUGUGAUUCUCUACUAGCUGCUUGUGAAUAAAAAUCUAAUUACUGUAGCUAGACAAAAUUCUUCUGGAUGGAACAACCUUUCCUUCCUUCUUUCCUUCCUUCCUGGGAAUGCCAAAGAACAUUGCUUGAUCUUUUAGCAAGCAAAGGCCAAGGUACACAAUUAUUUUGGAGGGCCUGAAAAAGUAUUUCUGUUCUUGUACAUUUCUGUUGAGCCGUAUCUGAAUUCAUGGGGCCUGCUGCCUCUGUAACAGCUCUGGAAUAGUUGUAAUACUACAGGGGCCAGUGACUGCGCCUGCAUUUUAACUAUGGUGCCAUCAAGUGGUCAUUCUUAACAGAGCUGGGCUCUUUAGUCAAGCUGGUAGUAGAAAUUUCCAAGCCCUUCAUUAAGAAAUUUAUAUGUUUGGCCGGGUGUGGUGGCUCAUGUCUGUAAUCUCAGCACUUUGGGAGGCCGAGGUGGGUGAAUCACCCAAGGUCAAGAGUUUGAGACCAGCCUGGACAACAUGGUGAAACCCCGUCUCUACUAUAAAUACAAAAUUAGCCGGGCAUGGUGGCAGGUGCCUAUAAUGUCAGCUAUUUGGGAGGCUGAAGCAGGAGAAUCGCUUGAACCCGGGCGGCAGAGGUUGCAGUGAGCCAAGAUUGUGCCACUGCACUCCAGCCCGGGUGACACAGCGAGACUCCAUUUCAAAAAAAAAAAAAAGAAAUUUAUAUGUUUAUUAAAAAAUUGAACUGUAACUGGGCAUGCUGCAUCUUUAAUGUAUCAGAAUUCAAGGUAAAUAAACCCCUUUCCAAGCCUUUAAAAUCCGUAUAAAAAUCUAGCCAGAGUUUCUUUUCUCCACCUCCCUGUAUGGCUUAUUUGCUGUUUGUUUCUUUCCCUCAGGGACCAUAUUUUCCUGCGACUGGCUCUUGGCUUGGCCCAGUCACUAAUUAUUUGCCUCAGUGUCUUGCUCUACUUUUCUUGGUCCUCAUUAUUUGAUUUACUCAAAUUCUUGGUACCUUGUUUAUGGGAAAACCAUGAGGAAAGGUUCCAAGACCUCAAGUUUAAUUUAGCUCAAAAGUGAAGAGGUUGUUGUGUGUUUCCUUUCCUGUUAAAAGAACAGUCACGUUGACGUCCUCUCUCCUCACAUAUGACUUCUGCAGAGAUUGAAAGGCUGGGUGUAGUGGCUGAAGCCUGUAAUCCCAGCACUUUGGGAGGCUGAGGUGGGCAGAUUGUUUGAGGUCAGGAGUUUGAGACCAGCCUGGCCAACAUGGCGAAACCCUGUCUCUACUAAAAAUACAAAAAUUAGCUGGGCGUGGUAGCGUGUGCCUGUAGUCCCAGCUACUCAAGAGACUGAGACACAAGAAUUGCUUGAACCCAGGAGGUGGAGGUUGCAGUGUGCCGAGAUCACGCCACUCCAGCCUGGGAGACAGAGUGAGACUGUCUAAAAAAAAAAAAAAAAAAAAAAGAUCCAAUCAUCUGUCUUUCUUUUCAAGUUUGUCCUCCAAACUAAUUGGAAGAUUAGUAUUUGAAAGGCAAUAGAAAAUCAGACUGAAAUUUCAAAUACAUAAAAAGGAGUUGUUCCCAUUGUCUGUAAGUGUGAAAGCGCCGUAAAGGUAAAUGUCACGGUGGAAAAAAGUCCAGAGGCUACAAGGGAACAAGGCCUCCUGCUCGGAGAGCCUCACUCCUGCAUGUCAAAUUUUCAGGUUAGUUGCUGCGACGAUUUCUUGUAUUUCUAGACGUUUCCCAGACAUACACAAAAAUAGUUAUGUAAUAAUUUCUUCCUCCUUUUUAAAAAAUCCAAGGCAUCAAAUUGUGUGCUCUCUUCUGCAACUUGGUUUCUUAACAUAUUUCUUGGAAAUCUUUAUAAGCUGUUAUUAUAGUUCUACUUCAUUCUAUUGUAAUUAUUUAAAAUUAUUAAAAUUAAAAUACUUGGUAAAAAUAAACAUGCACUUGCGAACAGAAAGUCACAGUCAUGCCACGCCUCCUCAACAACCUACUGGUAACCAGAGGCCAUUGCUUUGAGCUCUUUCUAUUUUCAAUUCUAUUGGCAGGAACCUGCAAAA